rnacentral:misc_RNA from 1 species
GGUAGCAUUCCUCACGGACACCGACGUUGCAAGAGGAUAGCCAAAACCCAAUGGAUCUAGCGCCUCAAUGCAACUCCGGACGUCGUUCGGUUCGAGCGAAUUGCAAUAAUUCUGGGCAAAAAGAGGUCAGUGACCUCGUACCCUAUAGGUAUUCCGCAUCCGAGAGCUCGGGCAACAAUUAAUAGGCCGCGACAACAACACGAUAAGUGAGUGUUGCGGAACACAAUUAUCACUUCUGGGUUCACCCGAAGCCGCACCCUCAGAAGGGCCAGCGGUAGGCGAAUGAUGGACGAUUUGACAACCGAAUUCCAUUGCAAUAGGUACGCAACACAGGAAACCCGCAACUGCGGCCAAGGCUAAUGUUGCUCUUGGACCGACAAGUGAAGAGGAAUGCAUGGGAGGACGUCACUGCCCGAGCAGAGAUCCAA